UCUUGACAGGAUUGGGAUUCCUCCACUGUGAGGACAGUGCGACUCAAGAAACGAGAAAAAAGGCGCUCCUCGAGAAAUCAUGUUGAUGGUCCUCCAGUUACCUCCAAAAGGUCUCGAUCAACAGGAAAAACUUCAGAGAUGGGAAAUGAGGCCAUUGUGACAAAGACCACAGUGACUGUUCCUGCAAAUGGAGGAUCUGUUGAGGCAGUUUCUACCAUUGAGAC